AUACGGAGGGUGCAAGCGUUGUCCGGAUUUAUUGGGUUUAAAGGGUGCGUAGGCGGCCCGUUAAGUCAGUGGUGAAAGGUAUCAGCUCAACUGAUGAAGUGCCAUUGAAACUAACGGGCUUGAGUACAGACGAGGUAGGCGGAAUUUAUGGUGUAGCGGUGAAAUGCAUAGAUACCAUAAAGAACACCGAUAGCGAAGGCAGCUUACUAGACUGUCACUGACGCUGAGGCACGAAAGCGUGGGGAGCAAACAGGAUUAGAUACCCCAGUAGUCC
rnacentral:rRNA from 1 species